UCGCAUAAAGGGGAAGAGGUGCAAAUGUCUGCCUAACUCUCUUUCUACCGUGAUAGAAAGAAUGACUCCACAGCUAACUGAUGCAUGCUAGUUGCUUCUAACUAAGCACAAACAAACUAACCCUUCCGUGGCAGAAGGGAAUGACACUUUGCAAAUUAACCGCAUGCUCUCCCGUUUCCUUGCAGGUGCCCUGACUCUGGCGCUCCCACCUGGUGAUGACCGACGGAGCGCUGACAGGCACAUCCAGGGCAUGGCUGCUCCCCCGCGCCCCGCCCUCCCCAAACAUCUCUGACGGACGGUUGGCUGCAGCCCAGGAAGCACCGUCGCGCCGCGGCCUGCAUCCCAGCCCCGCCCCUCCGAGCGGGAAGGAGGGCUGUGUGGAAUGCUCCAGCUCCCUCGCCAGCCUAAACGCAAGCCCGCUCUUUCCAGUGCAAUAAAACGAGAUGUACAACAA